CAGCAGCCACGGUAACACGGAGGGAGCUAGCGUUGUUCGGAAUUACUGGGCGUAAAGCGCACGUAGGCGGUUAUUCAAGUCAGAGGUGAAAGCCCGGGGCUCAACCCCGGAACUGCCUUUGAAACUAGAUGGCUGGAAUCUUGGAGAGGUCAGUGGAAUUCCGAGUGUAGAGGUGAAAUUCGUAGAUAUUCGGAAGAACACCAGUGGCGAAGGCGACUGACUGGACAAGUAUUGACGCUGAGGUGCGAAAGCGUGGGGAGCAAACAGGAUUAGAUACCCCAGUAGUCCCUGUCUCUUAUAC
rnacentral:rRNA from 1 species